rnacentral:tRNA from 1 species
GUGGUGAUAGCUCAGCUGGAAGAGCGCUGGAAUGUGGCUCCAGAGGUCAUGGGUUCGAAUCCCUUUCAUCACA